AAAAAACUUAAUCCAACAAAUCAGACAAAGAAUAUGUAUGAAAUUCAUGUCUCUUCUUUAAAAUUGCAAUAUUUUGACAUGAAUGGCCAGCAUUAUUAUUAUUAUUUUUUUGAAAGAGGUCAUUAAAUGACCUCAUGAAACCACAAAAUUAUUGAAUAUGUAAGCAUGCGAUCAGCGACAAACUAACAAAGUUCACAGACGAGCAUGACAAUAGCUACCUUCUUAGAAAAUGCAGCAAAUG
rnacentral:misc_RNA from 1 species